rnacentral:rRNA from 1 species
UACGGAGGGUGCGAGCGUUGUCCGGAAUCAUUGGGCGUAAAGGGCGCGUAGGUGGCCCGGUCAGUCAGUGGUGAAAACCCGGGGCUCAACCCCGGGCCUGCAGUCGAUACGGGCGAGCUAGAGUUCGGCAGGGGAGACUGGAAUUCCUGGUGUAGCGGUGAAAUGCGCAGAUAUCAGGAGGAACACCGGUGGCGAAGGCAGGUCUCUGGGCCACUACUGACGCUGAGAAGCGAAAGCAUGGGGAGCGAACAGG